GCCCGCUUAGCUCAGUGGUAGAGCGCAUCACUAGUAACCACUCCUGCAAGGAAUAUGAUGAGGUCGCCAGUUCAAUUCUGGUAGCGGGCA